UGGGUGUGUUAGUUGGGAGGACAGUGGGUGUGUUAGUUGGGAGGACAGUGGGUGUGUAUAGGGUGUGUUAGUUGGGAGGACAGUGGGUGUGUUAGUUGGGAGGACAGUGGGUGUGUAUAGGGUGUGUUAGUUGGGAGGACAGUGGGUGUGUUAGUUGGGAGGACAGUGGGUGUGUAUAGGGUGUGUUAGUUGGGACGACAGUGGGUGUGUUAGUAGGGUGUGUUAGUUGGGACGACAGUGGGUGUGUUAGUUGGGAGGACAGUGGGUGUGUGUAGGGUAUGUUAUUGGGGAGGACAGUGGGUGUGUGUAGGGUGUGUUAGUUGGGAGGACAGUGGGUGUGUUAGUUGGGAUGACAGUGGGUGUGUUAGUUGGGACGACAGUGGGUGUGUUAGUUGGGAGGACAGUGGGUGUUUGGAGGGUGUGUUAGUUGGGACGACAGUGGGUGUGUUAGUUGGGAGGACAGUGGGUGUGUUAGUUGGGGGACGACAGUGGGUGUGUGUAGGGUGUGUUAGUUGGGACGACAGUGGGUGUUUGUAGGGUGUGUUAGUUGGGACGACAGUGGGUGUGUUAG
ensembl:lncRNA